UAAAGAUGGACGACAUGGACAGCAAUCAGAGGUGUACUCAACGGGAAGCCCUCUAAGUGGUCUCAUAAGCUAACCUCUUCCUGUGUGCCUGUCUACCUCGACAGUGAGGAACAACUGUCCUGUUUGCUGAUCUGAGAGGAGUGCUGCAUAGGACACCAACACAACUGAGCUUCACAGAUGAAGUGCAGAGGCCAUCAUAUAAAUGCCUUGGCUGUCCUAC